rnacentral:rRNA from 1 species
UNGGCUUUUAAGUCAGUGGGGAAAAUUCUGGGGCUCACCUGCAGGACUGGCAUUGAAACUGAAGGUCUUGAAUUGUUGAGUAGUAGCUGUAAUAUUUGAUGUAGCAGUGAAAUGCAUAGAUAUCACAUAGAACGCCGGUUGUGAAGGCAGGCUACUAACAAUAUAUUGACAGGAGGGGGGAAAGCGUGGGGAGCGAACAGGAUUAGAUACCCUGGUAGUCCACGCCGUAAACGAUGGUUACUAGUUGUCCGGCCCGAUUGACGGCUGGGUGGCCAAGCGAAAGUGAUAAGUAACCCACUUGGGGAGUACGUUCUCAAGAAUGAAACUCAAAGGAAUUGAAGGGGGCCCGCACAAUCGGUGGAUUAUGAGGUUUAAUUAGAUGAUACGCGAGGAACCUUACCAGGGGUUAAAUGCAGUGGACAGGGGUGGAAACACCCUUUUCUUAGGACAGAUUGCAAGAUGCUGCAUUGUUGUUGUCAGCUCGUGCCGUGAGGUGUCAGGUUAAGUCAUAUAACGAGCGCAUCCCCUGUGGUUAGUUGCCAGCGAGUAAUGUCGGGAACUCUAGCCAGACUGCCGGUACAAACCGUGAGGAAGGUGGGGAUGACGUCAAAUCAUCACGGCCCUUACGUCCUGGGCCACACACGUGCUACAAUGGUAGGGACAGAGAGCAGCCAUUUCGCAAGAAGGAAUGAAUCUAUAAACCCUAUCACAGUUCGGAUCGGGGUCUGCAACUGAACCCCGUGAUUCUGGAAUUGCUAGUAAUCGUAUAUCAGCCAUGAGGCGGCGAAAAAGUUUGAUCCCGGCUCAGUAAGUCCAACAAGGUAACCACUAGAGUUUGAUCCUGGCUCAGUAAGUCGUAACAAGGUAACCACUAGAGUU